AAACGACUCUCGGCAACGGAUAUCUCGGCUCUCGCAUCGAUGAAGAACGUAGCGAAAUGCGAUACCUGGUGUGAAUUGCAGAAUCCCGUGAACCAUCGAGUCUUUGAACGCAAGUUGCGCUCGAAGCCAUUAGGUCGAGGGCACGUCUGCCUGGGCGUCU
rnacentral:rRNA from 1 species